GACCUCAUAGCUCAGUUGGGCAGAGCAUUGGGCUAGUAUUCCAAAGGUCGUAGGUUCGAAUCCCACCGUGGACA